UCAUUGGUGGUUCAGUGGUAGACUUCUUGCCUUCCCAUGCAGGAGACCCAGGUUCGAUUCCAGGCCAGUGCA
rnacentral:tRNA from 1 species